UCGUAGGUGACCUGCGGAGGGAUCAUUACAAGUGACCCCGGUCUAACCACCGGGAUGUUCAUAACCCUUUGUUGUCCGACUCUGUUGCCUCCGGGGCGACCCUGCCUUCGGGCGGGGGCUCCGGGUGGACACUUCAAACUCUUGCGUAACUUUGCAGUCUGAGUAAACUUAAUUAAUAAAUUAAAACUUUUAACAACGGAUCUCUUGGUUCUGGCAUCGAUGAAGAACGCAGCGAAAUGCGAUAAGUAAUGUGAAUUGCAGAAUUCAGUGAAUCAUCGAAUCUUUGAACGCACAUUGCGCCCCCUGGUAUUCCGGGGGGCAUGCCUGUUCGAGCGUCAUUUCACCACUCAAGCCUCGCUUGGUAUUGGGCAACGCGGUCCGCCGCGUGCCUCAAAUCGACCGGCUGGGUCUUCUGUCCCCUAAGCGUUGUGGAAACUAUUCGCUAAAGGGUGCUCGGGAGGCUACGCCGUAAAACAAACCCAUUUCUAAGGUUGACCUCGGAUCAGGUAGGGAUACCCGCUGAACUUAAGCAUAU
rnacentral:rRNA from 1 species